UACGUAGGGUGCAAGCGUUGUCCGGAAUUAUUGGGCGUAAAGAGCUCGUAGGCGGUUUGUCGCGUCUGCUGUGAAAACCCGAGGCUCAACCUCGGGCCUGCAGUGGGUACGGGCAGACUAGAGUGCGGUAGGGGAGAUUGGAAUUCCUGGUGUAGCGGUGGAGUGCGCAGAUAUCAGGAGGAACACCAAUGGCGAAGGCAGAUCUCUGGGCCGUAACUGACGCUGAGGAGCGAAAGCAUGGGGGAGCGAACAGG
rnacentral:rRNA from 1 species